UAAGAAAAAAGGGGAAAAAAAGAUGAAGAUCAUUGGAAGACGAAGAACGAACCUGCUGAAAAUGCCGCUGCCGGAGUUACAUCGGGAUAUGCGAACGGCAAAGAAUGCAUUGUCGGGAGUGUGCGAACGGCAAAGAAUGCAUUGUCGGGAGUGUGCGAACGGCAAAGUUGGAAGACCGCUGCCGGGGGAACUUUGGGCGUAGUCGCGUAGACAGAGAAAAAGAAAGAGGCGGCUGUGUGUGUGAAGCGUGAAAGGAAAAAGGAAAGAGGAAUUAGGGUUAGGAAGAGGGGAAGUUAAAAGUUGAUGGAAUAUUACCCGUUAGAUUUUAAUCCAACGGUUGAAAUUCUAAAUAUAAGUGGGCCUCUUUAUAAAUAAGUUGAGCUAAAAAUUUUAAAAAUAAUAUUUUGUAUUAUUUAUUUAUAUAUAAAUAUAAUUAUAUAUUUAUAUAUAUAAAUAUAACACAUAUAUAUAUAUUAUAUUAAUAUAAAAUAAAUGUAAUCGAACUGUUAUCGAGCCGAAC
rnacentral:lncRNA from 1 species